rnacentral:rRNA from 1 species
GACGAACGCUGGCGGCGUGCCUAAUACAUGCAAGUCGAGCGGAUUGAUGGGAGCUUGCUCCCUGAUAUCAGCGGCGGACGGGUGAGUAACACGUGGGUAACCUGCCUGUAAGAUCGGGAUAACUCCGGGAAACCGGAGCUAAUACCGGAUAAUUCACAUCUACUCAUGUAGAUGUGCUGAAAGACGGUUUACGCUGUCACUUAUAGAUGGGCCCGCGGCGCAUUAGCUAGUUGGUGAGGUAACGGCUCACCAAGGCCACGAUGCGUAGCCGACCUGAGAGGGUGAUCGGCCACACUGGGACUGAGACACGGCCCAGACUCCUACGGGUGGCAG